rnacentral:lncRNA from 1 species
GGCCAGCGGCUGCUGGAAAUGCUGCGUGAAGACCGCGUACGCGUUGUCGAAGUUGGCCAUGGGUAAGCUGUCAGUACGAUGUUGAGUAUCACUGAUCAUCUCAAUAAUACCGUUGCCCAAUGAAGACGUGUUUUCAUACACUUGCAUAUCUCCGUCGGUGGCGCGAUAAGAUAUUCGAAAGGGCAUGUGGUCAAACUGUGAGCAGUAAGCUUGAUACUCGCGGGCUUCGGCUCGUGAUAUGUAGGGCGCCAAUGUGCGUUGCACUAAAGACUCGAGUGUGUUGGUAUGAUCAUGGUUUGGCUUUUCAGAGCCACGGGACGUCACAUGAGGGCCUGCACCCUCGUUGCUGGCGGGCUGGCCGGGCGUCUUCCCUGGUAGUUUGUGGCGUAAGCCCUGUGAGGAGCCCAUCCAGCGACGCAUACCACCGAUGAUUGAACGGUGUAGAGAUCCCGAAGGAGAAAGAAUCACAGAGUUCGAAGUGUGUGAAGGCAUGGCUAGUGGCGGCGGCAGCGUCUCCUGGUCCUCGUUCAGAGUCGGAAGAGGGUCGCCCAACUCGGCACUCGCAAGGUGUACGGCAGUCAUUUUGUAUGCAUGAUGUCGUUGUAGACUGAGUUAGUGAAUUAGACGUACUCGGUAAAUAGGCUUGGGCGGUAGUAACCCUCCCAGAAUCCCUUCUCG